AACACUGACUGAAGGUCACAGAGAGGAGAAGGGAGUUAGAGCCAACACUGACUGAAGGUCACAGAGAGGAGAAGGGAGUUAGAGCCAACACUGACUGAAGGUCACAGAGAGGAGAAGGGAGUUAGAGCCAACACUGACUGAAGGUCACAGAGAGGAGAAGGGAGUUAGAGCCAACACUGACUGAAGGUCACAGAGAGGAGAAGGGAGUUAGAGCCAACACUGACUGAAGGUCACAGAGAGGAGAAGGGAGUUAGAGCCAACACUGACUGAAGGUCACAGAGAGGAGAAGGGAGUUAGAGCCAACACUGACUGAAGGUCACAGAGAGGAGAAGGGAGUUAGAGCCAACACUGACUGAAGGUCACAGAGAGGAGAAGGGAGUUAGAGCCAACACUGACUGAAGGUCACAGAGAGGAGAAGGGAGUUAGAGCCAACACUGACUGAAGGUCACAGAGAGGAGAAGGGAGUUAGAGCCAACACUGACUGAAGGUCACAGAGAGGAGAAGGGAGUUAGAGCCAACACUGACUGAAGGUCACAGAGAGGAGAAGGGAGUUAGAGCCAACACUGACUGAAGGUCACAGAGAGGAGAAGGGAGUUAGAGCCAACACUGACUGAAGGUCACAGAGAGGAGAAGGGAGUUAGAGCCAACACUGACUGAAGGUCACAGAGAGGAGAAGGGAGUUAGAGCCAACACUGACUGAAGGUCACAGAGAGGAGAAGGGAGUUAGAGCCAACACUGACUGAAGGUCACAGAGAGGAGAAGGGAGUUAGAGCCAACACUGACUGAAGGUCACAGAGAGGAGAAGGGAGUUAGAGCCAACACUGACUGAAGGUCACAGAGAGGAGAAGGGAGUUAGAGCCAACACUGACUGAAGGUCACAGAGAGGAGAAGGGAGUUAGAGCCAACACUGACUGAAGGUCACAGAGAGGAGAAGGGAGUUAGAGCCAACACUGACUGAAGGUCACAGAGAGGAGAAGGGAGUUAGAGCCAACACUGACUGAAGGUCACAGAGAGGAGAAGGGAGUUAGAGCCAACACUGACUGAAGGUCACAGAGAGGAGAAGGGAGUUAGAGCCAACACUGACUGAAGGUCACAGAGAGGAGAAGGGAGUUAGAGCCAACACUGACUGAAGGUCACAGAGAGGAGAAGGGAGUUAGAGCCAACACUGACUGAAGGUCACAGAGAGGAGAAGGGAGUUAGAGCCAACACUGACUGAAGGUCACAGAGAGGAGAAGGGAGUUAGUGC